UUGGGAAACAGUGUUUCACGAUCUGAAAUACAAAGAGCCAUCUCUCGAGUUUCAAUGUCCUUACCUCUAACAGAAGAAGAAUCACCUUCAUCCCACCUAUUUCCCAGGAUGGCUGUGAACAUCCAUUUGCUGUGCUUAAUCGCUCAGUCAUGUCUGACUUUGCGAUCCCAUGGACUGUAGCCCACCAGGCUCUUCUGGACAUGAGAUUUUCCAGGCAAAUACCUCCUCUACCGCAGGCCCUGUUCUGCAGGUAGAGUUGACCACACCCCUAACCACCAAGGCUGAGCAACAAAGGGCCAAUCAGAGCACAACGAUUGGUUUGGGCUGGACAUGAGAGCCAAUC
ensembl:lncRNA